GAUGAACGCUAGCGGCAGGCUUAAUACAUGCAAGUCGAGGGGCAACAGUGGUAGCAAUACCAGCUGGCGACCGGCAAACGGGUGCGCAACACGUACAGAACCUUCCUUUAAGCGGGGAUAGCCCAUAGAAAUGUGGAUUAAUACCCCAUGGUAAUGUUGAGUGGCAUCACUUGAUAUUUAAAGAUUUAUCAACUUAAAGAUGGCUGUGCGUCUGUANAGGUAGUUGGUGUAGGUAACGGCUCACCAAGCCAACGAUCAGUAACUGGUGUGAGA
rnacentral:rRNA from 1 species